GACGAACGCUGGCGGCGUGCCUAAUACAUGCAAGUAGAACGCUGAAGGAGGAGCUUGCUUCUCUGGAUGAGUUGCGAACGGGUGAGUAACGCGUAGGUAACCUGCCUGGUAGCAGGGGAUAACUAUUGGAAACGAUAGCUAAUACCGCAUAAUAGUAGAUGUUGCAUGACAUUUGCUUAAAAGGUGCAAUUGCAUCACUACCAGAUGGACCUGCGUUGUAUUAGCUAGUUGGUGGGGUAACGGCUCACCAAGGCGACGAUACAUAGCCGACCUGAGAGGGUGAUCGGCCACACUGGGACUGAGACACGCCCCAGACUCCUACGGGAGGCAGCAGUAGGGAAUCUUCGGCAAUGGACGGAAGUCUGACCGAGCAACGCCGCGUGAGUGAAGAAGGUUUUCGGAUCGUAAAGCUCUGUUGUAAGAGAAGAACGAGUGUGAGAGUGGAAAGUUCACACUGUGACGGUAUCUUACCAGAAAGGGACGGCUAACUACGUG
rnacentral:rRNA from 1 species